AGAGUUUGAUCAUGGCUCAGAACGAACGCUGGCGGCGUGGAUAAGACAUGCAAGUCGAACGGGACCAAGUCUGUAGUAAUACAAACUUGGUUCAGUGGCGCACGGGUGCGUAACACGUGAGCAAUCUGCCGGGAAGUGGGGGAUAGCUCGCCGAAAGGCGAAUUAAUACCGCAUGUGGCCAUUCUUCGAGUGGAGGAAAAGCCAAAGCAGCAAUGCGCUUCCUGAUGAGCUCGCGGCCUAUCAGCUCGAUGGCGGGGUAAUGGCCCACCAUGGCUUUGACGGGUAGCUGGUCUGAGAGGACGACCAGCCACACUGGAACUGAGACACGGUCCAGACACCUACGGGUGGCAGCAGUCGAGAAUUUUUCACAAUGGGGGAAACCCUGAUGGAGCGACGCCGCGUGGAGGAUGAAGGCCUUCGGGUUGUAAACUCCUGUCAUGCGGGAACAAGCAAGUGAUAGUACCGCAAGAGGAAGAGACGGCUAACUCUGUGCCAGCAGCCGCGGUAAUACAGAGGUCUCAAGCGUUGUUCGGAUUCAUUGGGCGUAAAGGGUGCGUAGGUGGUGAUGCAAGUCUGGUGUGAAAUCUCGGAGCUCAACUCCGAAAUUGCACCGGAUACUGCGUGACUCGAGGACUGUAGAGGAGAUCGGAAUUCACGGUGUAGCAGUGAAAUGCGUAGAUAUCGUGAGGAAGACCAGUUGCGAAGGCGGAUCUCUGGGCAGUUCCUGACACUGAGGCACGAAGGCCAGGGGAGCAAACGGGAUUAGAUACCCCGGUAGUCCUGGCAGUAAACGGUGCACGUUUGGUGUGGGCGGGUUCAGACCCCGUCCGUGCCGGAGCUAACGCGUUAAACGUGCCGCCUGGGAAGUACGGUCGCAAGAUUAAAACUCAAAGAAAUUGACGGGGGCCCGCACAAGCGGUGGAGUAUGUGGCUUAAUUCGAUGCACGCGAGACCUUACCUGGCCUUGACAUGCAUUGUGUCCCGGUGAAAGCCGGGUAUCCUGCAGCAAUGUAGGAGCC
rnacentral:rRNA from 1 species